UACGGAGGGUGCAAGCGUUAAUCGGAAUUACUGGGCGUAAAGCGCACGUAGGUGGUUUGCUAAGUCAGCUGUGAAAUCCCCGGGCUCAACCUGGGCACUGCAGUUGAAACUGGCAAGCUAGAGUAGGGUAGAGGGGUGUGGAAUUCCAGGUGUAGCGGUGAAAUGCGUAGAUAUCUGGAGGAACACCGGUGGCGAAGGCGGGUCUCUGG
rnacentral:rRNA from 1 species